rnacentral:rRNA from 1 species
CCUACGGGAGGCAGCAGUGGGGGAUAUUGCACAAUGGGGGAAACCCUGAUGCAGCGACGCCGCGUGUGGGAAGAAGGUCCUCUGGAUUGUAAACCACUGUCCCCAGGGACGAAGAUGACGGUACCUGGGGAGGAAGCUCCGGCUAACUAGGGGCCAGCAGCCGCGGUAAUACGUAGGGAGAGAACGUUGUCCGGAAUUAAUGGGGGAAAGGGGGGCGUAGGCGGGGAUGCAAGUUGGGUGUCAAAACUACCGGCUCAACUGGUAGUCGCACUCAAAACUGCAGCUCUUGAGUGAAGUAGAGGCAGGCGGAAUUCCUAGUGUAGCGGUGAAAUGCGUAGAUAUUAGGAGGAACACCAGUGGCGAAGGCGGCCUGCUGGGCUUUUACUGACGCUGAGGCUCGAAAGUGUGGGGAGCAAACAGGAUUAGAUACCCCGGUAGUC